rnacentral:rRNA from 1 species
UAUUGCACAAUGGGGGGAACCCUGAUGCAGCGACGCCGCGUGGGUGAAGGAGCGUUUCGGCGCGUAAAGCCCUAUCGGCAGGGAAGAAGGAGGACGGUACCUGACUAAGAAGCCCCGGCUAACUAUGUGCCAGCAGCCGCGGUAAUACAUAGGGAGCAAGCGUUAUCCGGAUUUAUUGGGUGUAAAGGGUGCGUAGACGGGAAAUUAAGUUAGUUGUGAAAUCCCUCGGCUUAACUGAGGAACUGCAACUAAAACUGAUUUUCUUGAGUACUGGAGAGGAAAGUGGAAUUCCUAGUGUAGCGGUGAAAUGCGUAGAUAUUAGGAGGAACACCAGUGGCGAAGGCGACUUUCUGGACAGUAACUGACGUUGAGGCACGAAAGUGUGGGGAGCAAACAG